GAACGCACCUUGCGCCCUUUGGACUUCUGAAGGGCAUGCCUGUUUGAGUGUCAUUUUAACUUCUCAACCAUGUCGAAUUAUUUUUCGAGGUGGCUUGGACAUGGGGGUUUUUGCAGGCUUCAAUAAUAAAGUCGGCUCCUCUGAAAUGCAUUAGUGGUAUCUGAAGCAGAACUGCUACUAUUAGGUGUGAUAAUUAUCUAUGCCUUUUGGUAUACUGCAUGAACAGAUUGUGCUGCUUCAAACUGGUACACCCUUUGGUGUUUGACAAAUUUGACCUCAAAUCAGGUAGGACUACCCGCUGAACUUAAG
rnacentral:misc_RNA from 1 species